GGAUUGUGGCUCAGCGGUAGAGUGCUUGCCUAGCACAUGUGAAGCACUGGGUUCAAUCCUCAGCACCA
rnacentral:tRNA from 1 species